UACGUAGGUGGCAAGCGUUGUCCGGAUUUAUUGGGGUUAAAGGGUGCGUAGGCGGCUUUGUAAGUCAGUGGUGAAAUAUGGCAGCUCAACUGUCAGGGUGCCAUUGAUACUGCGGAGCUUGAGUACAGAUGAGGUAGGCGGAAUUGACGGUGUAGCGGUGAAAUGCUUAGAUAUCGUCAAGAACACCGAUAGCGAAGGCAGCUUACUGGGCUGUAACUGACGCUGAGGCACGAAAGUGUGGGGAUCAAACAGG
rnacentral:rRNA from 1 species